GGCACUUCCAUUAGUGGCUCUCUGAUCAAUUUCCCUUGAAUUACUAUCCUCUGGCGCAUUCCCCAGGUCCUCUGAUUCAGGUUUCAGCAAUUUCUUCUUCAAUUUAAUCCUCUGUUCUCGUAGAAGUUUUGCACAGUUUUCACAUUGCCAAGCAUGUUCUGUUUUAGAUAGAAGCUCAGGCUUUGUGAAACAAGCCAAACAACUCUCCACUGACACGGGAGCAUCAGUACUAUCAACCUCAUCUGGAUCAGAUUCAGAGCUAUUUCCAAUAGCAGAACUAGCUUCUCCGAAUCCAUUUGCCACUGAAGCAGCACCACUUAGUAAAGGCUUUUCAGCCGGCCCUGCAACCGGCUCAGGUUCAUUAAACAGGCCACCAAAACCAUCAAAGUCCAAAAUAUCUUGUUCUGGGGACACCUCGCUUUCUCCUUUCAGUACAUCAUUGGUAGUUGAGGUUUCUUCUUUAUAUGGAAGCAACAGAAUUUCUGAAUCUUUUACUUGUAACGGGGCUUCAACUUCCUCGAGGCUUGCUGAUGAAUCAAGAUUUGAAUCCAC
rnacentral:misc_RNA from 1 species